GAUGAACGCUGGCGGCGUGCCUAAUACAUGCAAGUCGAGCGAACAGACGAGGAGCUUGCUCCUCUGACGUUAGCGGCGGACGGGUGAGUAACACGUGGAUAACCUACCUAUAAGACUGGGAUAACUUCGGGAAACCGGAGCUAAUACCGGAUAAUAUAUUGAACCGCAUGGUUCAAUAGUGAAAGACGGUUUUGCUGUCACUUAUAGAUGGAUCCGCGCCGCAUUAGCUAGUUGGUAAGGUAACGGCUGACCAAGGCAACGAUGCGUAGCCGACCUGAGAGGGUGAUCGGCCACCCUGGAACUGAGCCACGGUCCAGACUCCUACGGGAGGCAGCAGUAGGGAAUCUUCCGCAAUGGGCGAAAGCCUGACGGAGCAACGCCGCGUGAGUGAUGAAGGUCUUCGGAUCGUAACCCUCUGUUAUUAGGGAAGAACAAAUGUGUAAGUAACUAUGCACGUCUUGACGGUACCUAAUCAGAAAGCCACGGCUAACUACGUG
rnacentral:rRNA from 1 species